GAUGAACGCUGGCGGCGCGCCUAACACAUGCAAGUCGAACGAUUAAAGCACCUUCGGGUGUGUAUAAAGUGGCGAACGGCUGAGUAACACGUGGGCAACCUGCCCCUUUCAUUGGGAUAGCCACGGGAAACCGUGGAUAAUACCGAAUACUUCGAGACUUCCGCAUGGAAGACUCGAGAAAGCUCCGGCGGAGAGGGAUAGGCCCGCGGCCUGUUAGCUUGUUGGUGGGGUAACGGCCUACCAAGGCAAUGAUGGGUAGCUGGGUUGAGAGACCGACCAGCCAGAUUGGGACUGAGACACGGCCCAGACUCCUACGGGAGGCAGCAGUGGGGAAUCUUGCACAAUGGGCGAAAGCCUGAUGCAGCGACGCCGCGUGCGGGAUGAAGGCCUUCGGGUUGUAAACCGCUUUCAGCAGGGACGAGGCGAAAGUGACGGUACCUGCAGAAGAAGCCCCGGCUAACUACGUG
rnacentral:rRNA from 1 species